UACGUAGGGUGCAAGCGUUAUCCGGAAUUAUUGGGCGUAAAGAGCUCGUAGGCGGUUUGUCGCGUCUGCUGUGAAAACUGGGGGCUCAACCCCCAGCCUGCAGUGGGUACGGGCAGACUAGAGUGCGGUAGGGGAGAUUGGAAUUCCUGGUGUAGGCGGUGGAAUGCGCAGAUAUCAGGAGGAACACCGAUGGCGAAGGCAGAUCUCUGGGCCGUAACUGACGCUGAGGAGCGAAAGCAUGGGGAGCGA
rnacentral:rRNA from 1 species